rnacentral:rRNA from 1 species
UAAAGAUUCAUCGCUGAUAGAUAGGCAUGCGUUCCAUUAGGCAGUUGGCGGGGUAACGGCCCACCAAACCGACGAUGGAUAGGGGUUCUGAGAGGAAGGUCCCCCACAUUGGUACUGAGACACGGACCAAACUCCUACGGGAGGCAGCAGUGAGGAAUAUUGGUCAAUGGGCGUAAGCCUGAACCAGCCAAGUCGCGUGAGGGAUGAAGGUUCUAUGGAUCGUAAACCUCUUUUAUAAGGGAAUAAAGUGUGGGACGUGUCCUAUUUUGUAUGCACCUUAUGAAUAAGGAUCGGCUAACUCCGUGCCAGCAGCCGCGGUAAUACGGAGGAUCCGAGCGUUAUCCGGAUUUAUUGGGUUUAAAGGGUGCGUAGGCGGCCUUUUAAGUCAGCGGUGAAAGUCUGUGGCUCAACCAUAGAAUUGCCGUUGAAACUGGGGGGCUUGAGUAUGUUUGAGGCAGGCGGAAUGCGUGGUGUAGCGGUGAAAUGCUUAGAUAUCACGCAGAACCCCGAUUGCGAAGGCAGCCUGCCAAGCCAUGACUGACGCUGAUGCACGAAAGCGUGGGGAUCAAACAGGAUUAGAUACCCUGGUAGUCCACGCAGUAAACGAUGAUCACUAGCUGUUUGCGAUACAGUGUAA